GACGAACGCUGGCGGCGUGCUUAACACAUGCAAGUCGAACGGAAAGGCCCAGCUUGCGGGGUUCUCGAGUGGCGAACGGGUGAGUAACACGUGGGUGAUCUGCCCUGGACUCGGGGAUAAGCCUGGGAAACUGGGUCUAAUACGGGAGGUGACCUUACAUCUCAGGGUGGUUGGUGGAAUUCUUUUGCGGUGCAGGAUGGGCCCGCGGCCUAUCAGCUUGUUGGUGGGGUAAUGGCCUACCAAGGGGCCGGCGGGUGGCCGACCUGAGAGGGUGAUCGGCCACACUGGGACUGGGAAACGGCCCAGCCUCCUACGGGAGGCAGCAGUGGGGAAUAUUGACAAAUGGGGGCAAGCCUGAUGAAGCGACGCCGCGUGAGGGAUGACGGCCUUCGGGUUGUAAACCUCUUUCACAAGGGCCGAAGCGUGAGUGACGGUACCUGGAGAAGAAGCACCGGCCAACUACGUG
rnacentral:rRNA from 1 species